CCUACGGGUGGCUGCAGUGGGGAAUAUUGGACAAUGGGCGAAAGCCUGAUCCAGCCAUGCCGCGUGUGAAGAAGGUCUUCGGAUUGUAAAGCACUUUAAGUUGGGAGGCGUUACCGACAGAAUAAGCACCGGCUAACUCUGUGCCAGCAGCCGCGGUAAUACAGAGGGUGCAAGCGUUAAUCGGAAUUACUGGGCGUAAAGCGCGCGUAGGUGGUUCGUUAAGUUGGAUGUGAAAUCCCCGGGCUCAACCUGGGAACUGCAUUCAAAACUGUCGAGCUAGAGUAUGGUAGAGGGUGGUGGAAUUUCCUGUGUAGCGGUGAAAUGCGUAGAUAUAGGAAGGAACACCAGUGGCGAAGGCGACCACCUGGACGAACUGACACUGAGGUGCGAAAGCGUGGGGAGCAAACAGGAUUAGAUACCCCAGUAGUC
rnacentral:rRNA from 1 species